rnacentral:rRNA from 1 species
GACGGAUGGGGCUAGCGUUAUUCGGAAUUACUGGGCGUAAAGGGCGCGUAGGCGGUCAAUUAAGUUAGGCGUGAAAGCCCUGGGCUUAACCCAGGAACUGCGUUUAAUACUGGUUGGCUAGAGUUUGGUAGAGGAAAGCGGAAUUCCUAGUGUAGAGGUGAAAUUCGUAGAUAUUAGGAAGAACACCAGAGGCGAAGGCGGCUUUCUGGACCAAUACUGACGCUGAGGCGCGAAAGCGUGGGGAGCAAACAGG